rnacentral:tRNA from 7 species
CGGGAUGUAGCUCAGUUUGGCUAGAGCACCUGCUUUGGGAGCAGGGGGUCGCAGGUUCAAAUCCUGUCAUCCCGACCA